rnacentral:rRNA from 1 species
AUUGAACGCUGGCGGCAGGCCUAACACAUGCAAGUCGAGCGAGCGGCGGACGGGUGAGUAAUGUAUGGGGACUGCCCGAUAGAGGGGGAUAACUACUGGAAACGGUGGCUAAUACCGCAUACUAUCGGAUAACCCAUAUGGGAUUAGCUAGUAGGUGGGGUAAAGGCUCACCUAGGCGACGAUCUCUAGCUGGUCUGAGAGGAUGAUCAGCCCCACUGGUACUGAGACACGGCCCAGACUCCUACGGAGGCAGCAGUGGGGAAUAUUGCACAAUGGGCGCAAGCCUGAUGCAGCCAUGCCGCGUGUAUGUAGGAGGUCUUAGGGUUGUAAAGUACUUUCAGCGGGGAGGCGUUACCAACAGAAUAAGCACCGGCUAACUACGUGCCAGCAGCCGCGGUAAUUC